rnacentral:misc_RNA from 1 species
GUACCCUCGAACCCUCUCGCUUGCGGGAUGGGAAUCGGAUCUGGGCCUUGCAGGCUCGCGCCCUCCGGGGUUGCGUGGUGUGCUGGCCUGAACUUCAACCGUGGCAGGAUCCAGAUCCACCCGGGCUUCAAGGCGUCAUAGUUGGCCCAUGGUCAUCUUUCGCCGAACUCUAGCCAGGGCUGGGACUGACCGCGCGUCGUGAUCGCUUGCGCUCGCGACACCCAAACCUUUUAAA